rnacentral:lncRNA from 1 species
UGUGUAUCUUUAAUUAUGAUUGUGUAUAUGUAUAAGUUUAUAAAAGCAAUCAUUUGAAGUAAUUUAGUGUUGGCCAUGUGUGUUUAGUGCUGACCUCAGGAUUGUCUAAUCUGUUCAUAUCUUUUUUUAAUGAUUUUCAAAAAUAAUUUUUAUCAGCUAUUUCUCGAACGAGAAAGAGCGGCGCAGUUGGCAGAAAGUAAAACAGAUGAGUUGAUCAAAGAUGCUCCCACCACCCAGCACGAUAAGAGUGGAGAGUGGCAGGAAACAAGUGGAGAGAUACAGUGGGUGUCGACGGAAAAGACUGAUGGUGCUGAGGAGAAGCAGAAGAAGGAAGAUGAGGAUGAAGAACUUGACCUCAAUAAAGGCACGUUAAUCUGUGUAAUACUAUAGUUGCAGUGAGAAUAGUCAUUUUUAGUUCCUAAACAUUUGACUCGCAUAUUGUUAUAAUUUAGUUCAUGUCUUUAUAGUUUGUCUAGUUAAGCUUUGGAAUUACAGUACAUCUUCCUAUCCCUGAGCAUGGUGUGU